rnacentral:rRNA from 1 species
CCGAUCUAUUAAGGGCACAUGGUGGAUGUCUUGGCGUCGAGAGGCGAUGAAGGACGUUGGAACCUGCGAUAAGCCCAGGGGAGCUGGUAACCGAGCUUUGAUCCUGGGAUGUCCGAAUGGGGAAACCCGGCCCGCAAGGGUCAUCCGUAUCUGAAUGCAUAGGGUACGGAAGCGAACGCGGUGAACUGAAACAUCUCAGUAACCGUAGGAAAGGAAAGCAACAGCGACUCCGUAAGUAGCGCCGAGCGAAAGCGGAUUAGCCGGAAUGCAUUGCGAACUGCCUGGAAAGGCAGACGAUACAAGGUGAUAGUCCUGUAGCAAUGUUGCCGGUGAGGCCUAGAGUAGGUCCGGGCUCGUGAAACCCGGUCUGAACAUGGGGGGACCACCCCCCAAGCCUAAGUACUCCUCGACGACCGAUAGUGAACCAGUAACGUGAGUGAACGAUGAAAAGCACCCCGACAAGGGGAGUGAAAAGUACCUGAAACCGUGUGCUUACAAGCGGUCGGAGCCCUUCGGGGUGACGGCGUGCCUUUUGCAUAAUGAGCCGACGAGUUACUCUCUGUGGCAAGGCUAAGCUGAAUCCCAGCGCAGCCGAAGGGAAACCGAGUCUUAAAAGGGCGUCGAGUCGCAGGGAGUAGACGCGAAACCCGUUGAUCUACCCAUGGGCAGGUUGAAGAGAGGGUAAAACCUCUUGGAGGACCGAAGCCUUGAACGUUGAAAAGUUCUGGCAUGACCUGUGGGGAGGAGUUAAAGUCUAAUCAUAACGGGAGAUAUCUCGUUCUCUCCGAAAUAGUUUUUGGACUAGCCUCACGUCAUACAAUGCGGGGGUAGAGCUACUGGAUGGGGCUGGGGGGUCACAAACCUACCCACCUCAACCAAACUCCGAAUACCGCAUUGCUUAUCGUGGGAGUCAGACUACGGGGGAUAAUCUCCGUGGUCAAAAGGGAAACAGCCCAGACCGCCGGUUAAGGCCCCUAAAUACACCUCAGUUGAAAAGGUAGUCAGAUUGCAGUGACAGCCAGGAUGUUGGCUUAGAAGCAGCCACCAUUUAAAAAGUGCGUAACAGCUUACUGGUCGAGGAAUCUGGCGCCGAUAAUGAUCGGGGAUAAGGUGUAUGCCGAAACCGCGGACGUCUUCGGACGUGGUAGGAGAGCGUAGCUGUCAGCGUCGAAGCUUGCCCGGAAGGGCUGGUGGAGCGGCAGCUAGUGAAUAUGUCGGCUUGAGUAACGAUAAACGGAGUGAGAAUCUCCGUCGCCGAAAACCUAAGGUUUCCUGGGGAAGGUAAUUCCGCCCAGGGUUAGGCGGUACCUAAGGCGAGGCCGAAAGGCGUAGUCGAUGGACAGCAGGUUAAUAUUCCUGCCCUUUCAUGUGAGGUUGAUCCGGCGUGACGGAUCAUGAAGUUCGACGGCACAGUGAAGCGUGCAGGCCUUCGGGCCGAUGUCGGGUGGAUUGGUUCCAAGAAAAGCCGUCCGGGGACGAUCAUGAAAGCCGUACUAAAACUGACACAGGUAGGUGUGGCGAAAAGCCUCAGGCGCUCGAGAUAAUGGUCGUGAAGGAACUAGGCAAAUUGACCCCGUACGUUCGCAAUAAGGGGGCCCUCCUCGCAAGAGAGGGCGCAGAGAAGAGGCUCUGGGGACUGUUUAUCAAAAACACAGCACUGUGCUAACUCGCAAGAGCACGUAUACAGUGUGACGCCUGCCCGGUGCCGGAACGUCAAGGAAGCAGGUUAGCCUUCGGGCGAAGCUUGCGACCGAAGCGCCGGUAAACGGCGGCCGUAACUCUGACGGUCCUAAGGUAGCGAAAUUCCUUGUCGGGUAAGUUCCGACGCGCAUGAAUGGCGUAACCACUGGAGCACUGUCUCCACGACCAACUCGGUGAAAUAGUAGUGGCGGUGAAGAUGCCGAGAUCGGAAGAGCGUCGUGUAGGGAAAGAGUGUAGAUCUCGGUGGU